CCAUCUCUUACCUUCCCUGGAAUAGUAAUAGUGUACUGGCAAUUAGGGUUCUAGGGCCCAAUAGGUAUUACCCCCUUUUUUCUCUGCAUUAUGCUUCGGUUAGUGGUCCCGCGAGGCCAACACCCCGCCUCACACUCGGAGGCAUACACCCCUCGGGCCACUCGUGAGCUAGUCGCCUCGCAUUGUAUCAUAGAGAGGACCUCACCUGUCACUCCCCUUCCUAUUUUCUAGUUACUGUCACCGAGAGGCCAACAUCCUGCCACAACGUUCGGUGGCCACACAAAAU